AGAGGAGAAGCAGCUGUCUGAAAAGUCUCUGCACCCUCCUGCUUCCCCAGCGAUGCUCCCCGACCACCUCAAAUGUAACAUCCUCAAGGCCCAGAUGGAGGCAGCCUUCAGAAAAGAAGCCCCAACAACACCCAGAGGGAAGAGCUCAACUGAGACCCUGAAUGAGAGGCCAGUAGCUCUUUAACAUGUUUAGACCUCUUUCUGAAAACACAACACAACUUACCCUCCUGAGUAACUGCUCUCAUUUCCAGGUAUCAGAGCUCCUCCCAAGACUCAGCGGCAUCCAGUCUGACAGCAGAAAAGACGCCCCACAGGCAAGAUCGCAACCUGACGCCAGAGAGGCUCCAGCCCAAAGCCAACCCGAGCACCAACCGCAGGAAACGGCUGGUCCGGCAGUUCAGCUUUAACCAUGAAGAUGAAGAUAAUCUCCCUGAAGCACUCGCAGCCAUCUCCUCCCAGAGUACAGCAAAGUCGGGCUCUAGCAGCUCAUUGGACAAACAGAUACAGCCGUCUAUCUACCCACAGGGGGAUAAUAUGCCAGCACUGGAGCUGGGUAGUCCAUGCUGUCCCUCUCCUUCGCCCUCCCCUCAUCUCUCCCCUUCUUACUACCGUAGCUCCAUUCCUCACCUGGUUCCUUACCUUGCUGCCCAUAAUGACAGCGGAGAAGAAAUUAGGGUGGACAGAGAGAAGAUCCUGAGAGCGCUCCUGAUGACAGAGCUCUGAGACCUCGACCCUUCAGACGGAAGCUAAGAAGUCCCAAAGUCACUGGUGUCAGUCAGCAUUUGUAUACUUGCAUUGCACAUUUAGCAGUUAUAAAUCUAUAUUUGCAUAAAGGCGGUUGUUAUAUUUGCUUAGUUGUUAUAUUAGAAAGAAGGCUCUUUGUAAUAACUGAACUGAACCUGUACAAAAAAGCGAAAUGGAAACAAGUGGAUUCACUCACAUGCAUUACAGACGAGCUACAGACUGUAUUCCUGGUGCUGCCUGCAUGAUUAAUAUGUUUCCCUAAACGAUUAUCAGAUUUUGCUUUGGACUUCUGUUUAUGUGUGAGUUCAUCCUCAUCGUCUUCAUCGCCGUGUCCGUGCUGAUGCCUAAACUGUGUUUCAGACAGCGACUGUUGAAGCUUUGAUCUCCAUGUAAAAAGCUCUCCUGAAAUGAAAGUCACUUCACUUUCAAAUCAGUUUGUUCAAAAUGUAAAUAGUCAUUGAUAUCCUGAGAACAGAGCAGGCGUUGUAAAUGCUUACCUCAGUACUGUAAUUCCUAUAUCAGAUAUCCAUUUUUUACACGCAAAAAACAUCUGCAGCAUCUGUGGUUUUAAAGAAAAUCCUGAACAGAGUGAGUUGAAAGUGAAAACUGGCAGAUCUCGACACCUCAGUCUCCGUGUGCCCACCAGGAGGCGCCAAAGCUCCUGUGGGGCAGCAGCCUUGAUCUUGUGUUACAGGUGUUCAUGAAAAACAGCUCAUGCGU
rnacentral:lncRNA from 1 species